rnacentral:rRNA from 1 species
UACAGAGGUCUCAAGCGUUGUUCGGAUUCAUUGGGCGUAAAGGGUGCGUAGGCGGCGCGGUAAGUCGGGGUGUGAAAUCUCGGAGCUUAACUCCGAAACUGCAUUCGAUACUGGCGUGCUUGAGGACUGGAGAGGAGACUGGAAUUCAUGGUGUAGCAGUGAAAUGCGUAGAUAUCGAGAGGAACACCUGCGGCGAAGGCGGGUUGCUGGGCUGACACUGACGCUGAUGCGCGAAAGCCAGGGGAGCGAACGGG